GACGAACGCUGGCGGCGUGCUUAACACAUGCAAGUCGAACGGAAAGGCCCUGCUUUUGUUGGGUGCUCGAGUGGCGAACGGGUGAGUAACACGUGAGUAACCUGCCCUUGACUUUGGGAUAACUUCAGGAAACUGGGGCUAAUACCGGAUAGGAGCUCCUGCUGCAUGGUGGGGGUUGGAAAGUUUCGGCGGUUGGGGAUGGACUCGCGGCUUAUCAGCUUGUUGGUGGGGUAGUUGCUUACCAAGGCUUUGACGGGUAGCCGGCCUGAGAGGGUGACCGGCCACAUUGGGACUGAGAUACGGCCCAGACUCCUACGGGAGGCAGCAGUGGGGAAUAUUGCACAAUGGGCGGAAGCCUGAUGCAGCAACGCCGCGUGCGGGAUGACGGCCUUCGGGUUGUAAACCGCUUUCGCCUGUGACGAAGCGUGAGUGACGGUAAUGGGUAAAGAAGCACCGGCUAACUACGUG
rnacentral:rRNA from 1 species